UAAUAUCAAACAUAUUUUAUCAAUAACAAAUAUUAUAAGAAUACAGUGCUAAUUAAAUAUUUUAUUAAAUAUUAUUUUACCUAUAAGUGGCUAUAGAAGAUCUCUCUCUGAGCCGGUGUAAUAUGAUGCCAAUCGAAGAGCGUCAUAGGGGCAUAGCUGCGGUAUAUGAUGCCCAGCUUAGUUCGCUAUGGCUCAUACCAUCCCCUAAUGGGCGUGGUAAAGUCGGACAAAAUUUCGAUACGGAGAUGCUAUCCCUCGU
rnacentral:lncRNA from 1 species